rnacentral:lncRNA from 1 species
GGUUAGGGUUGGAGUUAGGGUUAGUGUUGGAGCUAGGGUUAGGGUUGGGCUUGGAGCUAGGACUUUUCUGAGUGCAAUGAACCAACUCCCGAGUCUCUAGGACAUUCCUAAAAAAAUUUGAUUUUUUCCCAUAGGAAUGCAUGGUUUAGGGUUAUGGUUAGGGUUAGGGUUGGAGCUAGGGUUAGGGUUAGGGUUAGGGUUAGGGUUGGAGUUAGGGUUAGUGUUGGAGCUAGGGUUAGGGUUGGGCUUGGAGCUAGGAUUUUUCUGAGUGCACUGAACCAACUCCCGAGUCUCUAGGACAUUCCUAAAAAAAAUUGAUUUUUUUCCCAUAGGAAUGCAUGGGUUAGGGUUAGGGUUAGGGUUAGGGUUGGAGCUAGGGUUAGGGUUAGGGUUGGAGUUAGGGUUAGUGUUGGAGCUAGGGUUAGGGUUGGGCUUGGAGCUAGGAUUUUUCUGAGUGCAAUGAACCAACUCCCGAGUCUCUAGGACGUUCCUAAAAAAAUUUGAUUUUUUCCCAUAGGAAUGCAUGGGUUAGGGUUAGGGUUAGGGUUGGAGCUAGGGUUAGGGUUAGGGUUAGGGUUGGAGUUAGGGUUAGUGUUGGAGCUAGGGUUAGGGUUGGGCUUGGAGCUAGGAUUUUUCUGAGUGCACUGAACCAACUCCCGAGUCUCUAGGACGUUCCUAAAAAAAUUUGAUUUUUUCCCAUAGGAAUGCAUGGGUUAGGGUUAGGGUUAGGGUUGGAGCUAGGGUUAGGGUUAGGGUUAGGGUUGGAGUUAGGGUUAGUGUUGGAGCUAGGGUUAGGGUUGGGCUUGGAGCUAGGAUUUUUCUGAGUGCACUGAACCAACUCCCGAGUCUCUAGGACAUUCCUAAAAAAAUUUGAUUUUUUCCCAUAGGAAUGCAUGGGUUAGGGUUAGGGUUAGGGUUGGAGCUAGGGUUAGGGUUAGGGUUAGGGUUGGAGUUAGGGUUAGUGUUGGAGCUAGGGUUAGGGUUGGGCUUGGAGCUAGGAUUUUUCUGAGUGCACUGAACCAACUCCCGAGUCUCUAGGACAUUCCUAAAAAAAUUUGAUUUUUUCCCAUAGGAAUGCAUGGGUUAGGGUUAUGGUUAGGGUUAGGGUUGGAGCUAGGGUUAGGGUUAGGGUUAGGGUUGGAGUUAGGGUUAGUGUUGGAGCUAGGGUUAGGGUUGGGCUUGGAGCUAGGAUUUUUGUGAGUGCACUGAACCAACUCCCGAGUCUCUAGGACAUUCCUAAAAAAAUUUGAUUUUUUCCCAUAGGAAUGCAUGGGUUAGGGUUAUGGUUAGGGUUAGGGUUGGAGCUAGGGUUAGGGUUAGGGUUAGGGUUGGAGUUAGGGUUAGUGUUGGAGCUAGGGUUAGGGUUGGGCUUGGAGCUAGGAUUUUUCUGAGUGCAAUGAACCAACUCCCGAGUCUCUUGGACGUUCCUAAAAAAAUUUGAUUUUUUCCCAUAGGAAUGCAUGGGUUAGGGUUAGGGUUAGGGUUGGAGCUAGGGUUAGGGUUAGGGUUAGGGUUAGGGUUAGGGUUGGAGUUAGGGUUAGUGUUGGAGCUAGGGUUAGGGUUGGGCUUGGAGCUAGGAUUUUUGUGAGUGCACUGAACCAACUCCCGAGUCUCUAGGACAUUCCUAAAAAAAUUUGAGUUUUUCCCAUAGGAAUGCAUGGGUUAGGGUUAGGGUUAGGGUUGGAGCUAGGGUUAGGGUUAGGGUUAGGGUUGGAGUUAGGGUUAGUGUUGGAGCUAGGGUUAGGGUUGGGCUUGGAGCUAGGAUUUUUCUGAGUGCACUGAACCAACUCCCGAGUCUCUAGGACAUUCCUAAAAAAAUUUGAUUUUUUCCCAUAGGAAUGCAUGGGUUAGGGUUAUGGUUAGGGUUAGGGUUGGAGCUAGGGUUAGGGUUAGGGUUAGGGUUGGAGUUAGGGUUAGUGUUGGAGCUAGGGUUAGGGUUGGGCUUGGAGCUAGGACUUUUCUGAGUGCAAUGAACCAACUCCCGAGUCUCUAGGACGUUCCCUAAAAAAUUUGAUUUUUUCCCAUUGGAAUGCAUGGGUUAGGGUUAGGGUUAGGGUUGGAGCUAGGGUUAGGGUUAGGGUUAGGGUUGGAGUUAGGGUUAGUGUUGGAGCUAGGGUUAGGGUUGGGCUUGGAGCUAGGAUUUUUCUGAGUGCAAUGAACCAACUCCCGAGUCUCUAGGACGUUCCUAAAAAAAUUUGAUUUUUUCCCAUAGGAAUGCAUGGGUUAGGGUUAUGGUUAGGGUUGGAGCUAGGGUUAGGGUUAGGGUUAGGGUUGGAGUUAGGGUUAGUGUUGGAGCUAGGGUUAGGGUUGGGCUUGGAGCUAGGAUUUUUCUGAGUGCAAUGAACCAACUCCCGAGUCUCUAGGACGUUCCUAAAAAAAUUUGAUUUUUUCCCAUAGGAAUGCAUGGGUUAGGGUUAGGGUUAGGGUUGGAGCUAGGGUUAGGGUUAGGGUUAGGGUUGGAGUUAGGGUUAGUGUUGGAGCUAGGGUUAGGGUUGGGCUUGGAGCUAGGAUUUUUCUGAGUGCACUGAACCAACUCCCGAGUCUCUAGGACAUUCCUAAAAAAAUUUGAUUUUUUCCCAUAGGAAUGCAUGGGUUAGGGUUAUGGUUAGGGUUAGGGUUGGAGCUAGGGUUAGGGUUAGGGUUAGGGUUGGAGUUAGGGUUAGUGUUGGAGCUAGGGUUAGGGUUGGGCUUGGAGCUAGGAUUUUUUCUGAGUGCAAUGAACCAACUCCCGAGUCUCUUGGACGUUCCCUAAAAAAAUUUGAUUUUUUCCCAUAGGAAUGCAUGGGUUAGGGUUAGGGUUAGGGUUGGAGCUAGGGUUAGGGUUAGGGUUAGGGUUGGAGUUAGGGUUAGUGUUGGAGCUAGGGUUAGGGUUGGGCUUGGAGCUAGGAUUUUUCUGAGUGCACUGAACCAACUCCCGAGUCUCUAGGACAUUUCCUAAAAAAAUUUGAUUUUUUCCCAUAGGAAUGCAUGGGUUAGGGUUAGGGUUAGGGUUGGAGCUAGGGUUAGGGUUAGGGUUAGGGUUGGAGUUAGGGUUAGUGUUGGAGCUAGGGUUAGGGUUGGGCUUGGAGCUAGGAUUUUUCUGAGUGCACUGAACCAACUCCCGAGUCUCUAGGACAUUCCUAAAAAAAUUUGAUUUUUUCCCAUAGGAAUGCAUGGGUUAGGGUUAGGGUUAGGGUUUGGGUUGGAGCUAGGGUUAGGGUUAGGGUUGGGGUUAGGGUUAGUGUUGGAGCUAGGGUUAGGGUUGGGCUUGGAGCUAGGAUUUUUCUGAGUGCAAUGAACCAACUCCCGAGUCUCUUGGACGUUCCUAAAAAAAUUUGAUUUUUUCCCAUAGGAAUGCAUGGGUUAGGGUUAGGGUUAGGGUUGGAGCUAGGGUUAGGGUUAGGGUUAGGGUUGGAGUUAGGGUUAGGCUUGGAGCUAGGGUUAGGGUUGGGCUUGGAGCUAGGAUUUUUCUGAGUGCACUGAACCAACUCCCGAGUCUCUAGGACGUUCCUAAAAAAAUUUGAUUUUUUCCCAUAGGAAUGCAUGGGUUAGGGUUAGGGUUAGGGUUGGAGCUAGGGUUAGGGUUAGGGUUAGGGUUGGAGUUAGGGUUAGUGUUGGAGCUAGGGUUAGGGUUGGGCUUGGAGCUAGGACUUUUCUGAGUGCACUGAACCAACUCCCGAGUCUCUAGGACAUUCCUAAAAAAAUUUGAUUUUUUCCCAUAGGAAUGCAUGGGUUAGGGUUAGGGUUAGGGUUGGAGCUAGGGUUAGGGUUAGGGUUAGGGUUGGAGUUAGGGUUAGUGUUGGAGCUAGGGUUAGGGUUGGGCUUGGAGCUAGGAUUUUUCUGAGUGCACUGAACCAACUCCCGAGUCUCUAGGACAUUCCUAAAAAAAUUUGAUUUUUUCCCAUAGGAAUGCAUGGGUUAGGGUUAUGGUUAGGGUUAGGGUUGGAGCUAGGGUUAGGGUUAGGGUUAGGGUUGGAGUUAGGGUUAGUGUUGGAGCUAGGGUUAGGGUUGGGCUUGGAGCUAGGAUUUUUCUGAGUGCAAUGAACCAACUCCCGAGUCUCUUGGACGUUCCUAAAAAAAUUUGAUUUUUUCCCAUAGGAAUGCAUGGGUUAGGGUUAGGGUUAGGGUUGGAGCUAGGGUUAGGGUUAGGGUUGGAGUUAGGGUUAGUGUUGGAGCUAGGGUUAGGGUUGGGCUUGGAGCUAGGAUUUUUCUGAGUGCAAUGAACCAACUCCCGAGUCUCUAGGACGUUCCUAAAAAAAUUUGAUUUUUUCCCAUAGGAAUGCAUGGGUUAGGGUUAUGGUUAGGGUUGGAGCUAGGGUUAGGGUUAGGGUUAGGGUUGGAGUUAGGGUUAGUGUUGGAGUUGGGUUAGGGUUGGGCUUGGAGCUAGGAUUUUUCUGAGUGCAAUGAACCAACUCCCGAGUCUCUAGGACGUUCCUAAAAAAAUUAGAUUUUUUCCCAUAGGAAUGCAUGGGUUAGGGUUAGGGUUAGGGUUGGAGCUAGGGUUAGGGUUAGGGUUAGGGUUGGAGUUAGGGUUAGUGUUGGAGCUAGGGUUAGGGUUGGGCUUGGAGCUAGGAUUUUUCUGAGUGCACUGAACCAACUCCCGAGUCUCUAGGACAUUCCUAAAAAAAUUUGAUUUUUUCCCAUAGGAAUGCAUGGGUUAGGGUUAUGGUUAGGGUUAGGGUUGGAGCUAGGGUUAGGGUUAGGGUUAGGGUUGGAGUUAGGGUUAGUGUUGGAGCUAGGGUUAGGGUUGGGCUUGGAGCUAGGACUUUUCUGAGUGCAAUGAACCAACUCCCGAGUCUCUAGGACAUUCCUAAAAAAAUUUGAUUUUUUUCCCAUAGUAAUGCAUGGUUUAGGGUUAUGGUUAGGGUUAGGGUUGGAGCUAGGGUUAGGGUUAGGGUUAGGGUUAGGGUUAGGGUUGGAGUUAGGGUUAGUGUUGGAGCUAGGGUUAGGGUUGGGCUUGGAGCUAGGAUUUUUCUGAGUGCACUGAACCAACUCCCGAGUCUCUAGGACAUUCCUAAAAAAAUUUGAUUUUUUCCCAUAGGAAUGCAUGGGUUAGGGUUAUGGUUAGGGUUAGGGUUGGAGCUAGGGUUAGGGUUAGGGUUAGGGUUGGAGUUAGGGUUAGUGUUGGAGCUAGGGUUAGGGUUGGGCUUGGAGCUAGGACUUUUCUGAGUGCAAUGAACCAACUCCCGAGUCUCUAGGACGUUCCCUAAAAAAAUUUGAUUUUUUUCCCAUAGGAAUGCAUGGGUUAGGGUUAGGGUUAGGGUUGGAGCUAGGGUUAGGGUUAGGGUUAGGGUUAGGGUUGGAGUUAGGGUUAGUGUUGGAGCUAGGGUUAGGGUUGGGCUUGGAGCUAGGAUUUUUCUGAGUGCACUGAACCAACUCCCGAGUCUCUAGGACAUUCCUAAAAAAAUUUGAUUUUUUCCCAUAGGAAUGCAUGGGUUAGGGUUAGGGUUAGGGUUGGAGCUAGGGUUAGGGUUAGGGUUAGGGUUGGAGUUAGGGUUAGUGUUGGAGCUAGGGUUAGGGUUGGGCUUGGAGCUAGGAUUUUUCUGAGUGCACUGAACCAACUCCCGAGUCUCUAGGACAUUCCUAAAAAAAUUUGAUUUUUUUCCCAUAGGAAUGCAUGGGUUAGGGUUAGGGUUAGGGUUAGGGUUGGAGCUAGGGUUAGGGUUAGGGUUGGAGUUAGGGUUAGUGUUGGAGCUAGGGUUAGGGUUGGGCUUGGAGCUAGGAUUUUUCUGAGUGCAAUGAACCAACUCCCGAGUCUCUUGGACGUUCCUAAAAAAAUUUGAUUUUUUCCCAUAGGAAUGCAUGGGUUAGGGUUAGGGUUAGGGUUGGAGCUAGGGUUAGGGUUAGGGUUAGGGUUGGAGUUAGGGUUAGUGUUGGAGCUAGGGUUAGGGUUGGGCUUGGAGCUAGGAUUUUUCUGAGUGCACUGAACCAACUCCCGAGUCUCUAGGACGUUCCUAAAAAAAUUUGAUUUUUUCCCAUAGGAAUGCAUGGGUUAGGGUUAGGGUUAGGGUUGGAGGUAGGGUUAGGGUUAGGGUUAGGGUUGGAGUUAGGGUUAGUGUUGGAGCUAGGGUUAGGGUUGGGCUUGGAGCUAGGAUUUUUCUGAGUGCACUGAACCAACUCCCGAGUCUCUAGGACAUUCCUAAAAAAAUUUGAUUUUUUCCCAUAGGAAUGCAUGGGUUAGGGUUAGGGUUAGGGUUGGAGCUAGGGUUAGGGUUAGGGUUAGGGUUGGAGUUAGGGUUAGUGUUGGAGCUAGGGUUAGGGUUGGGCUUGGAGCUAGGAUUUUUCUGAGUGCACUGAACCAACUCCCGAGUCUCUAGGACAUUCCUAAAAAAAUUUGAUUUUUUCCCAUAGGAAUGCAUGGGUUAGGGUUAUGGUUAGGGUUAGGGUUGGAGCUAGGGUUAGGGUUAGGGUUAGGGUUGGAGUUAGGGUUAGUGUUGGAGCUAGGGUUAGGGUUGGGCUUGGAGCUAGGAAUUUUCUGAGUGCAAUGAACCAACUCCCGAGUCUCUAGGACAUUCCUAAAAAAAUUUGAUUUUUUCCCAUAGGAAUGCAUGGUUUAGGGUUAUGGUUAGGGUUAGGGUUGGAGCUAGGGUUAGGGUUAGGGUUAGGGUUAGGGUUAGGGUUGGAGUUAGGGUUAGUGUUGGAGCUAGGGUUAGGGUUGGGCUUGGAGCUAGGAUUUUUCUGAGUGCACUGAACCAACUCCCGAGUCUCUAGGACAUUCCUAAAAAAAUUUGAUUUUUUCCCAUAGGAAUGCAUGGGUUAGGGUUAUGGUUAGGGUUAGGGUUGGAGCUAGGGUUAGGGUUAGGGUUAGGGUUGGAGUUAGGGUUAGUGUUGGAGCUAGGGUUAGGGUUGGGCUUGGAGCUAGGAUUUUUCUGAGUGCAAUGAACCAACUCCCGAGUCUCUUGGACGUUCCUAAAAAAAUUUGAUUUUUUUCCCAUAGGAAUGCAUGGGUUAGGGUUAGGGUUAGGGUUGGAGCUAGGGUUAGGGUUAGGGUUAGGGUUGGAGUUAGGGUUAGUGUUGGAGCUAGGGUUAGGGUUGGGCUUGGAGCUAGGAUUUUUCUGAGUGCACUGAACCAACUCCCGAGUCUCUAGGACAUUCCUAAAAAAAUUUGAUUUUUUCCCAUAGGAAUGCAUGGGUUAGGGUUAGGGUUAGGGUUGGAGCUAGGGUUAGGGUUAGGGUUAGGGUUGGAGUUAGGGUUAGUGUUGGAGCUAGGGUUAGGGUUGGGCUUGGAGCUAGGAUUUUUCUGAGUGCACUGAACCAACUCCCGAGUCUCUAGGACAUUCCUAAAAAAAUUUGAUUUUUUCCCAUAGGAAUGCAUGGGUUAGGGUUAUGGUUAGGGUUGGAGCUAGGGUUAGGGUUAGGGUUAGGGUUGGAGUUAGGGUUAGUGUUGGAGUUGGGUUAGGGUUGGGCUUGGAGCUAGGAUUUUUCUGAGUGCAAUGAACCAACUCCCGAGUCUCUAGGACGUUCCUAAAAAAAUUUGAUUUUUUCCCAUAGGAAUGCAUGGGUUAGGGUUAGGGUUAGGGUUGGAGCUAGGGUUAGGGUUAGGGUUAGGGUUGGAGUUAGGGUUAGUGUUGGAGCUAGGGUUAGGGUUGGGCUUGGAGCUAGGACUUUUCUGAGUGCAAUGAACCAACUCCCGAGUCUCUAGGACGUUCCUAAAAAAAUUUGAUUUUUUCCCAUAGGAAUGCAUGGGUUAGGGUUAGGGUUAGGGUUGGAGCUAGGGUUAGGGUUAGGGUUAGGGUUGGAGUUAGGGUUAGUGUUGGAGCUAGGGUUAGGGUUGGGCUUGGAGCUAGGAUUUUUCUGAGUGCAAUGAACCAACUCCCGAGUCUCUAGGACGUUCCUAAAAAAAUUUGAUUUUUUCCCAUAGGAAUGCAUGGGUUAGGGUUAUGGUUAGGGUUGGAGCUAGGGUUAGGGUUAGGGUUAGGGUUGGAGUUAGGGUUAGUGUUGGAGUUGGGUUAGGGUUGGGCUUGGAGCUAGGAUUUUUCUGAGUGCAAUGAACCAACUCCCGAGUCUCUAGGACGUUCCUAAAAAAAUUUGAUUUUUUCCCAUAGGAAUGCAUGGGUUAGGGUUAGGGUUAGGGUUGGAGCUAGGGUUAGGGUUAGGGUUAGGGUUGGAGUUAGGGUUAGUGUUGGAGCUAGGGUUAGGGUUGGGCUUGGAGCUAGGAUUUUUCUGAGUGCACUGAACCAACUCCCGAGUCUCUAGGACAUUCCUAAAAAAAUUUGAUUUUUUCCCAUAGGAAUGCAUGGGUUAGGGUUAUGGUUAGGGUUAGGGUUGGAGCUAGGGUUAGGGUUAGGGUUAGGGUUGGAGUUAGGGUUAGUGUUGGAGCUAGGGUUAGGGUUGGGCUUGGAGCUAGGACUUUUCUGAGUGCAAUGAACCAACUCCCGAGUCUCUAGGACAUUCCUAAAAAAAUUUGAUUUUUUCCCAUAGGAAUGCAUGGUUUAGGGUUAUGGUUAGGGUUAGGGUUGGAGCUAGGGUUAGGGUUAGGGUUAGGGUUAGGGUUAGGGUUGGAGUUAGGGUUAGUGUUGGAGCUAGGGUUAGGGUUGGGCUUGGAGCUAGGAUUUUUCUGAGUGCACUGAACCAACUCCCGAGUCUCUAGGACAUUCCUAAAAAAAUUUGAUUUUUUCCCAUAGGAAUGCAUGGGUUAGGGUUAUGGUUAGGGUUAGGGUUGGAGCUAGGGUUAGGGUUAGGGUUAGGGUUGGAGUUAGGGUUAGUGUUGGAGCUAGGGUUAGGGUUGGGCUUGGAGCUAGGACUUUUCUGAGUGCAAUGAACCAACUCCCGAGUCUCUUGGACGUUCCCUAAAAAAAUUUGAUUUUUUUCCCAUAGGAAUGCAUGGGUUAGGGUUAGGGUUAGGGUUGGAGCUAGGGUUAGGGUUAGGGUUAGGGUUGGAGUUAGGGUUAGUGUUGGAGCUAGGGUUAGGGUUGGGCUUGGAGCUAGGAUUUUUCUGAGUGCACUGAACCAACUCCCGAGUCUCUAGGACAUUCCUAAAAAAAUUUGAUUUUUUCCCAUAGGAAUGCAUGGGUUAGGGUUAGGGUUAGGGUUGGAGCUAGGGUUAGGGUUAGGGUUAGGGUUGGAGUUAGGGUUAGUGUUGGAGCUAGGGUUAGGGUUGGGCUUGGAGCUAGGAUUUUUCUGAGUGCACUGAACCAACUCCCGAGUCUCUAGGACAUUCCUAAAAAAAUUUGAUUUUUUUCCCAUAGGAAUGCAUGGGUUAGGGUUAGGGUUAGGGUUAGGGUUGGAGCUAGGGUUAGGGUUAGGGUUGGAGUUAGGGUUAGUGUUGGAGCUAGGGUUAGGGUUGGGCUUGGAGCUAGGAUUUUUCUGAGUGCAAUGAACCAACUCCCGAGUCUCUUGGACGUUCCUAAAAAAAUUUGAUUUUUUCCCAUAGGAAUGCAUGGGUUAGGGUUAGGGUUAGGGUUGGAGCUAGGGUUAGGGUUAGGGUUAGGGUUGGAGUUAGGGUUAGUGUUGGAGCUAGGGUUAGGGUUGGGCUUGGAGCUAGGAUUUUUCUGAGUGCACUGAACCAACUCCCGAGUCUCUAGGACGUUCCUAAAAAAAUUUGAUUUUUUCCCAUAGGAAUGCAUGGGUUAGGGUUAGGGUUAGGGUUGGAGGUAGGGUUAGGGUUAGGGUUAGGGUUGGAGUUAGGGUUAGUGUUGGAGCUAGGGUUAGGGUUGGGCUUGGAGCUAGGAUUUUUCUGAGUGCACUGAACCAACUCCCGAGUCUCUAGGACAUUCCUAAAAAAAUUUGAUUUUUUCCCAUAGGAAUGCAUGGGUUAGGGUUAGGGUUAGGGUUGGAGCUAGGGUUAGGGUUAGGGUUAGGGUUGGAGUUAGGGUUAGUGUUGGAGCUAGGGUUAGGGUUGGGCUUGGAGCUAGGAUUUUUCUGAGUGCACUGAACCAACUCCCGAGUCUCUAGGACAUUCCUAAAAAAAUUUGAUUUUUUCCCAUAGGAAUGCAUGGGUUAGGGUUAUGGUUAGGGUUAGGGUUGGAGCUAGGGUUAGGGUUAGGGUUAGGGUUGGAGUUAGGGUUAGUGUUGGAGCUAGGGUUAGGGUUGGGCUUGGAGCUAGGAUUUUUCUGAGUGCACUGAACCAACUCCCGAGUCUCUAGGACAUUCCUAAAAAAAUUUGAUUUUUUCCCAUAGGAAUGCAUGGGUUAGGGUUAUGGUUAGGGUUAGGGUUGGAGCUAGGGUUAGGGUUAGGGUUAGGGUUGGAGUUAGGGUUAGUGUUGGAGCUAGGGUUAGGGUUGGGCUUGGAGCUAGGACUUUUCUGAGUGCAAUGAACCAACUCCCGAGUCUCUUGGACGUUCCUAAAAAAAUUUGAUUUUUUCCCAUAGGAAUGCAUGGGUUAGGGUUAGGGUUAGGGUUGGAGCUAGGGUUAGGGUUAGGGUUAGGGUUGGAGUUAGGGUUAGUGUUGGAGCUAGGGUUAGGGUUGGGCUUGGAGCUAGGAUUUUUCUGAGUGCAAUGAACCAACUCCCGAGUCUCUAGGACGUUCCUAAAUAAAUUUGAUUUUUUCCCAUAGGAAUGCAUGGGUUAGGGUUAUGGUUAGGGUUGGAGCUAGGGUUAGGGUUAGGGUUAGGGUUGGAGUUAGGGUUAGUGUUGGAGCUAGGGUUAGGGUUGGGCUUGGAGCUAGGAUUUUUCUGAGUGCAAUGAACCAACUCCCGAGUCUCUUGGACGUUCCUAAAAAAAUUUGAUUUUUUCCCAUAGGAAUGCAUGGGUUAGGGUUAGGGUUAGGGUUGGAGCUAGGGUUAGGGUUAGGGUUAGGGUUGGAGUUAGGGUUAGUGUUGGAGCUAGGGUUAGGGUUGGGCUUGGAGCUAGGAUUUUUCUGAGUGCAAUGAACCAACUCCCGAGUCUCUAGGACAUUCCUAAAAAAAUUUGAUUUUUUCCCAUAGGAAUGCAUGGGUUUAGGGUUAUGGUUAGGGUUAGGGUUGGAGCUAGGGUUAGGGUUAGGGUUAGGGUUAGGGUUGGAGUUAGGGUUAGUGUUGGAGCUAGGGUUAGGGUUGGGCUUGGAGCUAGGAUUUUUCUGAGUGCACUGAACCAACUCCCGAGUCUCUAGGACAUUCCUAAAAAAAUUUGAUUUUUUUCCCAUAGGAAUGCAUGGGUUAGGGUUAGGGUUAGGGUUAGGGUUGGAGCUAGGGUUAGGGUUAGGGUUGGAGUUAGGGUUAGUGUUGGAGCUAGGGUUAGGGUUGGGCUUGGAGCUAGGAUUUUUCUGAGUGCAAUGAACCAACUCCCGAGUCUCUAGGACGUUCCUAAAAAAAUUUGAUUUUUUCCCAUAGGAAUGCAUGGGUUAGGGUUAUGGUUAGGGUUGGAGCUAGGGUUAGGGUUAGGGUUAGGGUUGGAGUUAGGGUUAGUGUUGGAGUUGGGUUAGGGUUGGGCUUGGAGCUAGGAUUUUUCUGAGUGCAAUGAACCAACUCCCGAGUCUCUAGGACGUUCCUAAAAAAAUUUGAUUUUUUCCCAUAGGAAUGCAUGGGUUAGGGUUAGGGUUAGGGUUGGAGCUAGGGUUAGGGUUAGGGUUAGGGUUGGAGUUUGGGUUAGUGUUGGAGCUAGGGUUAGGGUUGGGCUUGGAGCUAGGAUUUUUCUGAGUGCACUGAACCAACUCCCGAGUCUCUAGGACAUUCCUAAAAAAAUUUGAUUUUUUCCCAUAGGAAUGCAUGGGUUAGGGUUAUGGUUAGGGUUAGGGUUGGAGCUAGGGUUAGGGUUAGGGUUAGGGUUGGAGUUAGGGUUAGUGUUGGAGCUAGGGUUAGGGUUGGGCUUGGAGCUAGGACUUUUCUGAGUGCAAUGAACCAACUCCCGAGUCUCUAGGACAUUCCUAAAAAAAUUUGAUUUUUUCCCAUAGGAAUGCAUGGUUUAGGGUUAUGGUUAGGGUUAUGGUUGGAGCUAGGGUUAGGGUUAGGGUUAGGGUUAGGGUUGGAGUUAGGGUUAGUGUUGGAGCUAGGGUUAGGGUUGGGCUUGGAGCUAGGAUUUUUCUGAGUGCACUGAACCAACUCCCGAGUCUCUAGGACAUUCCUAAAAAAAUUUGAUUUUUUUCCCAUAGGAAUGCAUGGGUUAGGGUUAGGGUUAGGGUUAGGGUUGGAGCUAGGGUUAGGGUUAGGGUUGGAGUUAGGGUUAGUGUUGGAGCUAGGGUUAGGGUUGGGCUUGGAGCUAGGAUUUUUCUGAGUGCAAUGAACCAACUCCCGAGUCUCUUGGACGUUCCUAAAAAAAUUUGAUUUUUUCCCAUAGGAAUGCAUGGGUUAGGGUUAGGGUUAGGGUUGGAGCUAGGGUUAGGGUUAGGGUUAGGGUUGGAGUUAGGGUUAGUGUUGGAGCUAGGGUUAGGGUUGGGCUUGGAGCUAGGAUUUUUCUGAGUGCACUGAACCAACUCCCGAGUCUCUAGGACGUUCCUAAAAAAAUUUGAUUUUUUCCCAUAGGAAUGCAUGGGUUAGGGUUAGGGUUAGGGUUGGAGGUAGGGUUAGGGUUAGGGUUAGGGUUGGAGUUAGGGUUAGUGUUGGAGCUAGGGUUAGGGUUGGGCUUGGAGCUAGGAUUUUUCUGAGUGCACUGAACCAACUCCCGAGUCUCUAGGACAUUCCUAAAAAAAUUUGAUUUUUUCCCAUAGGAAUGCAUGGGUUAGGGUUAGGGUUAGGGUUGGAGCUAGGGUUAGGGUUAGGGUUAGGGUUGGAGUUAGGGUUAGUGUUGGAGCUAGGGUUAGGGUUGGGCUUGGAGCUAGGAUUUUUCUGAGUGCACUGAACCAACUCCCGAGUCUCUAGGACAUUCCUAAAAAAAUUUGAUUUUUUCCCAUAGGAAUGCAUGGGUUAGGGUUAUGGUUAGGGUUAGGGUUGGAGCUAGGGUUAGGGUUAGGGUUAGGGUUGGAGUUAGGGUUAGUGUUGGAGCUAGGGUUAGGGUUGGGCUUGGAGCUAGGAUUUUUCUGAGUGCACUGAACCAACUCCCGAGUCUCUAGGACAUUCCUAAAAAAAUUUGAUUUUUUCCCAUAGGAAUGCAUGGGUUAGGGUUAUGGUUAGGGUUAGGGUUGGAGCUAGGGUUAGGGUUAGGGUUAGGGUUGGAGUUAGGGUUAGUGUUGGAGCUAGGGUUAGGGUUGGGCUUGGAGCUAGGACUUUUCUGAGUGCAAUGAACCAACUCCCGAGUCUCUUGGACGUUCCUAAAAAAAUUUGAUUUUUUCCCAUAGGAAUGCAUGGGUUAGGGUUAGGGUUAGGGUUGGAGCUAGGGUUAGGGUUAGGGUUAGGGUUGGAGUUAGGGUUAGUGUUGGAGCUAGGGUUAGGGUUGGGCUUGGAGCUAGGAUUUUUCUGAGUGCAAUGAACCAACUCCCGAGUCUCUAGGACGUUCCUAAAAAAAUUUGAUUUUUUCCCAUAGGAAUGCAUGGGUUAGGGUUAUGGUUAGGGUUGGAGCUAGGGUUAGGGUUAGGGUUAGGGUUGGAGUUAGGGUUAGUGUUGGAGCUAGGGUUAGGGUUGGGCUUGGAGCUAGGAUUUUUCUGAGUGCACUGAACCAACUCCCGAGUCUCUAGGACGUUCCUAAAAAAAUUUGAUUUUUUCCCAUAGGAAUGCAUGGGUUAGGGUUAGGGUUAGGGUUGGAGCUAGGGUUAGGGUUAGGGUUAGGGUUGGAGUUAGGGUUAGUGUUGGAGCUAGGGUUAGGGUUGGGCUUGGAGCUAGGAUUUUUCUGAGUGCACUGAACCAACUCCCGAGUCUCUAGGACAUUCCUAAAAAAAUUUGAUUUUUUCCCAUAGGAAUGCAUGGGUUAGGGUUAUGGUUAGGGUUAGGGUUGGAGCUAGGGUUAGGGUUAGGGUUAGGGUUGGAGUAAGGGUUAGUGUUGGAGCUAGGGUUAGGGUUGGUCGUGGAGCUAGGACUUUUCUGAGUGCAAUGAACCAACUCCCGAGUCUCUAGGACAUUCCUAAAAAAAUUUGAUUUUUUCCCAUAGGAAUGCAUGGUUUAGGGUUAUGGUUAGGGUUAGGGUUGGAGCUAGGGUUAGGGUUAGGGUUAGGGUUAGGGUUGGAGUUAGGGUUAGUGUUGGAGCUAGGGUUAGGGUUGGGCUUGGAGCUAGGACUUUUCUGAGUGCAAUGAACCAACUCCCGAGUCUCUAGGAUGUUCCCUAAAAAAAUUUGAUUUUUUCCCAUAGGAAUGCAUGGGUUAGGGUUAGGGUUAGGGUUGGAGCUAGGGUUAGGGUUAGGGUUAGGGUUGGAGUUAGGGUUAGUGUUGGAGCUAGGGUUAGGGUUGGGCUUGGAGCUAGGAUUUUUCUGAGUGCACUGAACCAACUCCCGAGUCUCUAGGACAUUCCUAAAAAAAUUUGAUUUUUUCCCAUAGGAAUGCAUGGGUUAGGGUUAGGGUUAGGGUUGGAGCUAGGGUUAGGGUUAGGGUUAGGGUUGGAGUUAGGGUUAGUGUUGGAGCUAGGGUUAGGGUUGGGCUUGGAGCUAGGAUUUUUCUGAGUGCACUGAACCAACUCCCGAGUCUCUAGGACAUUCCUAAAAAAAUUUGAUUUUUUCCCAUAGGAAUGCAUGGGUUAGGGUUAUGGUUAGGGUUAGGGUUGGAGCUAGGGUUAGGGUUAGGGUUAGGGUUGGAGUUAGGGUUAGUGUUGGAGCUAGGGUUAGGGUUGGGCUUGGAGCUAGGAUUUUUCUGAGUGCAAUGAACCAACUCCCGAGUCUCUUGGACAUUCCUAAAAAAAUUUGAUUUUUUCCCAUAGGAAUGCAUGGGUUAGGGUUAUGGUUAGGGUUGGAGCUAGGGUUAGGGUUAGGGUUAGGGUUGGAGUUAGGGUUAGUGUUGGAGCUAGGGUUAGGGUUGGGCUUGGAGCUAGGAUUUUUCUGAGUGCACUGAACCAACUCCUGAGUCUCUAGGACGUUCCUAAAAAAAUUUGAUUUUUUCCCAUAGGAAUGCAUGGGUUAGGGUUAGGGUUAGGGUUGGAGCUAGGGUUAGGGUUAGGGUUAGGGUUGGAGUUAGGGUUAGUGUUGGAGCUAGGGUUAGGGUUGGGCUUGGAGCUAGGAUUUUUCUGAGUGCACUGAACCAACUCCCGAGUCUCUAGGACAUUCCUAAAAAAAUUUGAUUUUUUCCCAUAGGAAUGCAUGGGUUAGGGUUAGGGUUAGGGUUGGAGCUAGGGUUAGGGUUAGGGUUGGAGUUAGGGUUAGUGUUGGAGCUAGGGUUAGGGUUGGGCUUGGAGCUAGGAUUUUUCUGAGUGCAAUGAACCAACUCCCGAGUCUCUAGGACGUUCCUAAAAAAAUUUGAUUUUUUCCCAUAGGAAUGCAUGGGUUAGGGUUAGGGUUAGGGUUGGAGCUAGGGUUAGGGUUAGGGUUAGGGUUGGAGUUAGGGUUAGUGUUGGAGCUAGGGUUAGGGUUGGGCUUGGAGCUAGGAUUUUUCUGAGUGCACUGAACCAACUCCCGAGUCUCUAGGACAUUCCUAAAAAAAUUUGAUUUUUUCCCAUAGGAAUGCAUGGGUUAGGGUUAUGGUUAGGGUUAGGGUUGGAGCUAGGGUUAGGGUUAGGGUUAGGGUUGGAGUUAGGGUUAGUGUUGGAGCUAGGGUUAGGGUUGGGCUUGGAGCUAGGACUUUUCUGAGUGCAAUGAACCAACUCCCGAGUCUCUAGGAAAUUCCUAAAAAAAUUUGAUUUUUUCCCAUAGGAAUGCAUGGUUUAGGGUUAUGGUUAGGGUUAGGGUUGGAGCUAGGGUUAGGGUUAGGGUUAGGGUUAGGGUUGGAGUUAGGGUUAGUGUUGGAGCUAGGGUUAGGGUUGGGCUUGGAGCUAGGACUUUUCUGAGUGCAAUGAACCAACUCCCGAGUCUCUAGGAUGUUCCCUAAAAAAAUUUGAUUUUUUUCCCAUAGGAAUGCAUGGGUUAGGGUUAGGGUUAGGGUUGGAGCUAGGGUUAGGGUUAGGGUUAGGGUUGGAGUUAGGGUUAGUGUUGGAGCUAGGGUUAGGGUUGGGCUUGGAGCUAGGAUUUUUCUGAGUGCACUGAACCAACUCCCGAGUCUCUAGGACAUUCCUAAAAAAAUUUGAUUUUUUUCCCAUAGGAAUGCAUGGGUUAGGGUUAGGGUUAGGGUUGGAGCUAGGGUUAGGGUUAGGGUUAGGGUUGGAGUUAGGGUUAGUGUUGGAGCUAGGGUUAGGGUUGGGCUUGGAGCUAGGAUUUUUCUGAGUGCACUGAACCAACUCCCGAGUCUCUAGGACAUUCCUAAAAAAAUUUGAUUUUUUUCCCAUAGGAAUGCAUGGGUUAGGGUUAUGGUUAGGGUUAGGGUUGGAGCUAGGGUUAGGGUUAGGGUUAGGGUUGGAGUUAGGGUUAGUGUUGGAGCUAGGGUUAGGGUUGGGCUUGGAGCUAGGAUUUUUCUGAGUGCAAUGAACCAACUCCCGAGUCUCUUGGACGUUCCUAAAAAAAUUUGAUUUUUUCCCAUAGGAAUGCAUGGGUUAGGGUUAGGGUUAGGGUUGGAGCUAGGGUUAGGGUUAGGGUUAGGGUUGGAGUUAGGGUUAGUGUUGGAGCUAGGGUUAGGGUUGGGCUUGGAGCUAGGAUUUUUCUGAGUGCACUGAACCAACUCCCGAGUCUCUAGGACAUUCCUAAAAAAAUUUGAUUUUUUCCCAUAGGAAUGCAUGGGUUAGGGUUAGGGUUAGGGUUGGAGCUAGGGUUAGGGUUAGGGUUAGGGUUGGAGUUAGGGUUAGUGUUGGAGCUAGGGUUAGGGUUGGGCUUGGAGCUAGGAUUUUUCUGAGUGCACUGAACCAACUCCCGAGUCUCUAGGACAUUCCUAAAAAAAUUUGAUUUUUUCCCAUAGGAAUGCAUGGGUUAGGGUUAUGGUUAGGGUUAGGGUUGGAGCUAGGGUUAGGGUUAGGGUUAGGGUUGGAGUUAGGGUUAGUGUUGGAGCUAGGGUUAGGGUUGGGCUUGGAGCUAGGACUUUUCUGAGUGCAAUGAACCAACUCCCGAGUCUCUAGGACGUUCCCUAAAAAAAUUUGAUUUUUUCCCAUAGGAAUGCAUGGGUUAGGGUUAGGGUUAGGGUUGGAGCUAGGGUUAGGGUUAGGGUUAGGGUUGGAGUUAGGGUUAGUGUUGGAGCUAGGGUUAGGGUUGGGCUUGGAGCUAGGAUUUUUCUGAGUGCACUGAACCAACUCCCGAGUCUCUAGGACAUUCCUAAAAAAAUUUGAUUUUUUCCCAUAGGAAUGCAUGGGUUAGGGUUAGGGUUAGGGUUGGAGCUAGGGUUAGGGUUAGGGUUAGGGUUGGAGUUAGGGUUAGUGUUGGAGCUAGGGUUAGGGUUGGGCUUGGAGCUAGGAUUUUUCUGAGUGCACUGAACCAACUCCCGAGUCUCUAGGACAUUCCUAAAAAAAUUUGAUUUUUUUCCCAUAGGAAUGCAUGGGUUAGGGUUAUGGUUAGGGUUAGGGUUGGAGCUAGGGUUAGGGUUAGGGUUAGGGUUGGAGUUAGGGUUAGUGUUGGAGCUAGGGUUAGGGUUGGGCUUGGAGCUAGGAUUUUUCUGAGUGCAAUGAACCAACUCCCGAGUCUCUAGGACAUUCCUAAAAAAAUUUGAUUUUUUCCCAUAGGAAUGCAUGGGUUAGGGUUAGGGUUAGGGUUGGAGCUAGGGUUAGGGUUAGGGUUAGGGUUGGAGUUAGGGUUAGUGUUGGAGCUAGGGUUAGGGUUGGGCUUGGAGCUAGGAUUUUUCUGAGUGCACUGAACCAACUCCCGAGUCUCUAGGACAUUCCUAAAAAAAUUUGAUUUUUUUCCCAUAGGAAUGCAUGGGUUAGGGUUAGGGUUAGGGUUGGAGCUAGGGUUAGGGUUAGGGUUAGGGUUGGAGUUAGGGUUAGUGUUGGAGCUAGGGUUAGGGUUGGGCUUGGAGCUAGGAUUUUUCUGAGUGCACUGAACCAACUCCCGAGUCUCUAGGACAUUCCUAAAAAAAUUUGAUUUUUUCCCAUAGGAAUGCAUGGGUUAUGGUUAGGGUUAGGGUUGGAGCUAGGGUUAGGGUUAGGGUUAGGGUUGGAGUUAGGGUUAGUGUUGGAGCUAGGGUUAGGGUUGGGCUUGGAGCUAGGAUUUUUCUGAGUGCACUGAACCAACUCCCGAGUCUCUAGGACAUUCCUAAAAAAAUUUGAUUUUUUCCCAUAGGAAUGCAUGGGUUAGGGUUAUGGUUAGGGUUAGGGUUGGAGCUAGGGUUAGGGUUAGGGUUAGGGUUGGAGUUAGGGUUAGUGUUGGAGCUAGGGUUAGGGUUGGGCUUGGAGCUAGGAUUUUUCUGAGUGCAAUGAACCAACUCCCGAGUCUCUAGGACGUUCCUAAAAAAAUUUGAUUUUUUCCCAUAGGAAUGCAUGGGUUAGGGUUAUGGUUAGGGUUGGAGCUAGGGUUAGGGUUAGGGUUAGGGUUGGAGUUAGGGUUAGUGUUGGAGCUAGGGUUAGGGUUGGGCUUGGAGCUAGGAUUUUUCUGAGUGCAAUGAACCAACUCCCGAGUCUCUAGGACGUUCCUAAAAAAAUUUGAUUUUUUCCCAUAGGAAUGCAUGGGUUAGGGUUAGGGUUAGGGUUGGAGCUAGGGUUAGGGUUAGGGUUAGGGUUGGAGUUAGGGUUAGUGUUGGAGCUAGGGUUAGGGUUGGGCUUGGAGCUAGGACUUUUCUGAGUGCAAUGAACCAACUCCCGAGUCUCUAGGACAUUCCCUAAAAAAAUUUGAUUUUUUCCCAUAGGAAUGCAUGGGUUAGGGUUAGGGUUAGGGUUGGAGCUAGGGUUAGGGUUAGGGUUAGGGUUGGAGUUAGGGUUAGUGUUGGAGCUAGGGUUAGGGUUGGGCUUGGAGCUAGGAUUUUUCUGAGUGCACUGAACCAACUCCCGAGUCUCUAGGACAUUCCUAAAAAAAUUUGAUUUUUUCCCAUAGGAAUGCAUGGGUUAGGGUUAUGGUUAGGGUUAGGGUUGGAGCUAGGGUUAGGGUUAGGGUUAGGGUUGGAGUUAGGGUUAGUGUUGGAGCUAGGGUUAGGGUUGGGCUUGGAGCUAGGAUUUUUCUGAGUGCACUGAACCAACUCCCGAGUCUCUUGGACAUUCCUAAAAAAAUUUGAUUUUUUCCCAUAGGAAUGCAUGGGUUAGGGUUAGGGUUAGGGUUGGAGCUAGGGUUAGGGUUAGGGUUAGGGUUGGAGUUAGGGUUAGUGUUGGAGCUAGGGUUAGGGUUGGGCUUGGAGCUAGGAUUUUUCUGAGUGCAAUGAACCAACUCCCGAGUCUCUAGGACGUUUCUAAAAAAAUUUGAUUUUUUUCCCAUAGGAAUGCAUGGGUUAGGGUUAUGGUUAGGGUUGGAGCUAGGGUUAGGGUUAGGGUUAGGGUUGGAGUUAGGGUUAGUGUUGGAGCUAGGGUUAGGGUUGGGCUUGGAGCUAGGAUUUUUCUGAGUGCACUGAACCAACUCCCGAGUCUCUAGGACAUUCCUAAAAAAUUUUGAUUUUUUCCCAUAGGAAUGCAUGGGUUAGGGUUAGGGUUAGGGUUGGAGCUAGGGUUAGGGUUAGGGUUAGGGUUGGAGUUAGGGUUAGUGUUGGAGCUAGGGUUAGGGUUGGGCUUGGAGCUAGGAUUUUUCUGAGUGCACUGAACCAACUCCCGAGUCUCUAGGACAUUCCUAAAAAAAUUUGAUUUUUUCCCAUAGGAAUGCAUGGUUUAGGGUUAUGGUUAGGGUUAGGGUUGGAGCUAGGGUUAGGGUUAGGGUUAGGGUUGGAGUUAGGGUUAGUGUUGGAGCUAGGGUUAGGGUUGGGCUUGGAGCUAGGACUUUUCUGAGUGCAAUGAACCAACUCCCGAGUCUCUAGGACGUUCCCUAAAAAAAUUUGAUUUUUUCCCAUAGGAAUGCAUGGGUUAGGGUUAGGGUUAGGGUUGGAGCUAGGGUUAGGGUUAGGGUUAGGGUUGGAGUUAGGGUUAGUGUUGGAGCUAGGGUUAGGGUUGGGCUUGGAGCUAGGAUUUUUCUGAGUGCACUGAACCAACUCCCGAGUCUCUAGGACAUUCCUAAAAAAAUUUGAUUUUUUCCCAUAGGAAUGCAUGGGUUAGGGUUAUGGUUAGGGUUAGGGUUGGAGCUAGGGUUAGGGUUAGGGUUAGGGUUGGAGUUAGGGUUAGUGUUGGAGCUAGGGUUAGGGUUGGGCUUGGAGCUAGGAUUUUUCUGAGUGCACUGAACCAACUCCCGAGUCUCUAGGACGUUCCUAAAAAAAUUUGAUUUUUUCCCAUAGGAAUGCAUGGGUUAGGGUUAGGGUUAGGGUUAGGGUUGGAGCUAGGGUUAGGGUUAGGGUUAGGGUUGGAGUUAGGGUUAGUGUUGGAGCUAGGGUUAGGGUUGGGCUUGGAGCUAGGAUUUUUCUGAGUGCACUGAACCAACUCCCGAGUCUCUAGGACAUUCCUAAAAAAAUUUGAGUUUUUCCCAUAGGAAUGCAUGGGUUAGGGUUAGGGUUAGGGUUGGAGCUAGGGUUAGGGUUAGGGUUAGGGUUGGAGUUAGGGUUAGUGUUUGAGCUAGGUUUAGGGUUGGGCUUUGGAGCUAGGAUUUUUCUGAGUGCACUGAACCAACUCCCGAGUCUCUAGGACUUUCCUAAAAAAAUUUGAUUUUUUCCCAUAGGAAUGCAUGGGUUAGGGUUAUGGUUAGGGUUAGGGUUGGAGCUAGGGUUAGGGUUAGGGUUAGGGUUGGAGUUAGAGUUAGUGUUGGAGCUAGGGUUAGGGUUGGGCUUGGAGCUAGGAUUUUUCUGAGUGCACUGAACCAACUCCCGAGUCUCUAGGACAUUCCUAAAAAAAUUUGAUUUUUUCCCAUAGGAAUGCAUGGGUUAGGGUUAUGGUUAGGGUUAGGGUUGGAGCUAGGGUUAGGGUUAGGGUUAGGGUUGGAGUUAGGGUUAGUGUUGGAGCUAGGGUUAGGGUUGGGCUUGGAGCUAGGAUUUUUCUGAGUGCACUGAACCAACUCCCGAGUCUCUAGGACGUUCCUAAAAAAUUUGAUUUUUUCCCAUAGGAAUGCAUGGGUUAGGGUUAGGGUUAGGGUUGGAGCUAGGGUUAGGGUUAGGGUUAGGGUUGGAGUUAGGGUUAGUGUUGGAGCUAGGGUUAGGGUUGGGCUUGGAGCUAGGAUUUUUCUGAGUGCACUGAACCAACUCCCGAGUCUCUAGGACAUUCCUAAAAAAAUUUGAUUUUUUCCCAUAGGAAUGCAUGGGUUAGGGUUAGGGUUGGAGCUAGGGUUAGGGUUAGGGUUAGGGUUGGAGUUAGGGUUAGUGUUGGAGCUAGGGUUAGGGUUGGGCUUGGAGCUAGGAUUUUUCUGAGUGCACUGAACCAACUCCCGAGUCUCUAGGACGUUCCUAAAAAAAUUUGAUUUUUUCCCAUAGGAAUGCAUGGGUUAGGGUUAGGGUUAGGGUUGGAGCUAGGGUUAGGGUUAGGGUUAGGGUUGGAGUUAGGGUUAGUGUUGGAGCUAGGGUUAGGGUUGGGCUUGGAGCUAGGAUUUUUCUGAGUGCACUGAACCAACUCCCGAGUCUCUAGGACAUUCCUAAAAAAAUUUGAUUUUUUCCCAUAGGAAUGCAUGGGUUAGGGUUAUGGUUAGGGUUAGGGUUGGAGCUAGGGUUAGGGUUAGGGUUAGGGUUGGAGUUAGGGUUAGUGUUGGAGCUAGGGUUAGGGUUGGGCUUGGAGCUAGGACUUUUCUGAGUGCAAUGAACCAACUCCCGAGUCUCUUGGACGUUCCCUAAAAAAAUUUGAUUUUUUCCCAUAGGAAUGCAUGGGUUAGGGUUAUGGUUAGGGUUGGAGCUAGGGUUAGGGUUAGGGUUAGGGUUGGAGUUAGGGUUAGUGUUGGAGCUAGGGUUAGGGUUGGGCUUGGAGCUAGGAUUUUUCUGAGUGCACUGAACCAACUCCCGAGUCUCUAGGACAUUCCUAAAAAAAUUUGAUUUUUUCCCAUAGGAAUGCAUGGUUUAGGGUUAUGGUUAGGGUUAGGGUUGGAGCUAGGGUUAGGGUUAGGGUUAGGGUUGGAGUUAGGGUUAGUGUUGGAGCUAGGGUUAGGGUUGGGCUUGGAGCUAGGACUUUUCUGAGUGCAAUGAACCAACUCCCGAGUCUCUAGGACGUUCCCUAAAAAAAAUUUGAUUUUUUCCCAUAGGAAUGCAUGGGUUAGGGUUAGGGUUAGGGUUGGAGCUAGGGUUAGGGUUAGGGUUAGGGUUGGAGUUAGGGUUAGUGUUGGAGCUAGGGUUAGGGUUGGGCUUGGAGCUAGGAUUUUUCUGAGUGCACUGAACCAACUCCCGAGUCUCUAGGACAUUCCUAAAAAAAUUUGAUUUUUUCCCAUAGGAAUGCAUGGGUUAGGGUUAUGGUUAGGGUUAGGGUUGGAGCUAGGGUUAGGGUUAGGGUUAGGGUUGGAGUUAGGGUUAGUGUUGGAGCUAGGGUUAGGGUUGGGCUUGGAGCUAGGAUUUUUCUGAGUGCACUGAACCAACUCCCGAGUCUCUAGGACAUUCCUAAAAAAAUUUGAUUUUUUCCCAUAGGAAUGCAUGGGUUAGGGUUAGGGUUAGGGUUAGGGUUGGAGCUAGGGUUAGGGUUAGGGUUAGGGUUGGAGUUAGGGUUAGUGUUGGAGCUAGGGUUAGGGUUGGGCUUGGAGCUAGGAUUUUUCUGAGUGCACUGAACCAACUCCCGAGUCUCUAGGACGUUCCUAAAAAAAUUUGAUUUUUUCCCAUAGGAAUGCAUGGGUUAGGGUUAGGGUUAGGGUUAGGGUUGGAGCUAGGGUUAGGGUUAGGGUUAGGGUUGGAGUUAGGGUUAGUGUUGGAGCUAGGGUUAGGGUUGGGCUUGGAGCUAGGAUUUUUCUGAGUGCACUGAACCAACUCCCGAGUCUCUAGGACGUUCCUAAAAAAAUUUGAUUUUUUCCCAUAGGAAUGCAUGGGUUAGGGUUAUGGUUAGGGUUGGAGCUAGGGUUAGGGUUAGGGUUAGGGUUGGAGUUAGGGUUAGUGUUGGAGCUAGGGUUAGGGUUUGGCUUGGAGCUAGGACUUUUCUGAGUGCAAUGAACCAACUCCCGAGUCUCUUGGACGUUCCCUAAAAAAAUUUGAUUUUUUCCCAUAGGAAUGCAUGGGUUAGGGUUAGGGUUAGGGUUGGAGCUAGGGUUAGGGUUAGGGUUAGGGUUGGAGUUAGGGUUAGUGUUGGAGCUAGGGUUAGGGUUGGGCUUGGAGCUAGGAUUUUUCUGAGUGCAAUGAACCAACUCCCGAGUCUCUAGGACGUUCCUAAAAAAAUUUGAUUUUUUCCCAUAGGAAUGCAUGGGUUAGGGUUAUGGUUAGGGUUGGAGCUAGGGUUAGGGUUAGGGUUAGGGUUGGAGUUAGGGUUAGUGUUGGAGCUAGGGUUAGGGUUGGGCUUGGAGCUAGGAUUUUUCUGAGUCCAGUGAACCAACUCCCGAGUCUCUAGGACGUUCCUAAAAAAAUUUGAUUUUUUCCCAUAGGAAUGCAUGGGUUAGGGUUAGGGUUAGGGUUGGAGCUAGGGUUAGGGUUAGGGUUAGGGUUGGAGUUAGGGUUAGUGUUGGAGCUAGGGUUAGGGUUGGGCUUGGAGCUAGGAUUUUUCUGAGUGCACUGAACCAACUCCCGAGUCUCUAGGACAUUCCUAAAAAAAUUUGAUUUUUUCCCAUAGGAAUGCAUGGUUUAGGGUUAUGGUUAGGGUUAGGGUUGGAGCUAGGGUUAGGGUUAGGGUUAGGGUUGGAGUUAGGGUUAGUGUUGGAGCUAGGGUUAGGGUUGGGCUUGGAGCUAGGACUUUUCUGAGUGCAAUGAACCAACUCCCGAGUCUCUAGGACGUUCCCUAAAAAAAUUUGAUUUUUUCCCAUAGGAAUGCAUGGGUUAGGGUUAGGGUUAGGGUUGGAGCUAGGGUUAGGGUUAGGGUUAGGGUUGGAGUUAGGGUUAGUGUUGGAGCUAGGGUUAGGGUUGGGCUUGGAGCUAGGAUUUUUCUGAGUGCACUGAACCAACUCCCGAGUCUCUAGGACAUUCCUAAAAAAAUUUGAUUUUUUCCCAUAGGAAUGCAUGGGUUAGGGUUAUGGUUAGGGUUAGGGUUGGAGCUAGGGUUAGGGUUAGGGUUAGGGUUGGAGUUAGGGUUAGUGUUGGAGCUAGGGUUAGGGUUGGGCUUGGAGCUAGGAUUUUUCUGAGUGCACUGAACCAACUCCCGAGUCUCUAGGACAUUCCUAAAAAAAUUUGAUUUUUUUCCCAUAGGAAUGCAUGGGUUAGGGUUAGGGUUAGGGUUAGGGUUGGAGCUAGGGUUAGGGUUAGGGUUAGGGUUGGAGUUAGGGUUAGUGUUGGAGCUAGGGUUAGGGUUGGGCUUGGAGCUAGGAUUUUUCUGAGUGCACUGAACCAACUCCCGAGUCUCUAGGACACUCCUAAAAAAAUUUGAUUUUUUCCCAUAGGAAUGCAUGGGUUAGGGUUAGGGUUAGGGUUAGGGUUGGAGCUAGGGUUAGGGUUAGGGUUAGGGUUGGAGUUAGGGUUAGUGUUGGAGCUAGGGUUAGGGUUGGGCUUGGAGCUAGGAUUUUUCUGAGUGCACUGAACCAACUCCCGAGUCUCUAGGACAUUCCUAAAAAAAUUUGAUUUUUUCCCAUAGGAAUGCAUGGGUUAGGGUUAUGGUUAGGGUUAGGGUUGGAGCUAGGAUUUUUCUGAGUGCACUGAACCAACUCCCGAGUCUCUAGGACAUUCCUAAAAAAAUUUGAUUUUUUCCCAUAGGAAUGCAUGGGUUAGGGUUAGGGUUAGGGUUAGGGUUGGAGCUAGGGUUAGGGUUAGGGUUAGGGUUGGAGUUAGGGUUAGUGUUGGAGCUAGGGUUAGGGUUGGGCUUGGAGCUAGGAUUUUUCUGAGUGCACUGAACCAACUCCCGAGUCUCUAGGACAUUCCUAAAAAAAUUUGAGUUUUUCCCAUAGGAAUGCAUGGGUUAGGGUUAGGGUUAGGGUUGGAGCUAGGGUUAGGGUUAGGGUUAGGGUUGGAGUUAGGGUUAGUGUUGGAGCUAGGGUUAGGGUUGGGCUUGGAGCUAGGAUUUUUCUGAGUGCACUGAACCAACUCCCGAGUCUCUAGGACAUUCCUAAAAAAAUUUGAUUUUUUCCCAUAGGAAUGCAUGGGUUAGGGUUAUGGUUAGGGUUAGGGUUGGAGCUAGGGUUAGGGUUAGGGUUAGGGUUGGAGUUAGAGUUAGUGUUGGAGCUAGGGUUAGGGUUGGGCUUGGAGCUAGGAUUUUUCUGAGUGCACUGAACCAACUCCCGAGUCUCUAGGACAUUCCUAAAAAAAAUUGAUUUUUUCCCAUAGGAAUGCAUGGGUUAGGGUUAUGGUUAGGGUUAGGGUUGGAGCUAGGGUUAGGGUUAGGGUUAGGGUUGGAGUUAGGGUUAGUGUUGGAGUUAGGGUUAGGGUUGGGCUUGGAGCUAGGAUUUUUCUGAGUGCAGUGAACCAACUCCCGAGUCUCUAGGACGUUCCUAAAAAAAUUUGAUUUUUUCCCAUAGGAAUGCAUGGGUUAGGGUUAGGGUUAGGGUUGGAGCUAGGGUUAGGGUUAGGGUUAGGGUUGGAGUUAGGGUUAGUGUUGGAGCUAGGGUUAGGGUUGGGCUUGG